AUUGAACGCUGGCGGCAGGCCUAACACAUGCAAGUCGAACGGUAACAGGAAGCAGCUUGCUGCUUCGCUGACGAGUGGCGGACGGGUGAGUAAUGUCUGGGAAGCUGCCUGAUGGAGGGGGAUAACUACUGGAAACGGUAGCUAAUACCGCAUAAUUUCGCAAGACCAAAGAGGGGGACCUUCGGGCCUCUUGCCAUCGGAUGUGCCCAGAUGGGAUUAGCUUGUUGGUGGGGUAACGGCUCACCAAGGCGACGAUCCCUAGCUGGUCUGAGGGGAUGACCAGCCACACUGGAACUGAGACACGGUCCAGACUCCUACGGGAGGCAGCAGUGGGGAAUAUUGCACAAUGGGCGCAAGCCUGAUGCAGCCAUGCCGCGUGUAUGAAGAAGGCCUUCGGGUUGUAAAGUACUUUCAGCGGGGAGGAAGGGAGUAAAGUUAAUACCUUUGCUCAUUGACGUUACCCGCAGAAGAAGCACCGGCUAACUCCGUG
rnacentral:rRNA from 1 species